AUGUUUGAUGAAGAUGAUAUUUUUAUUCUCCCAAGUUUUGAUAUGCAAGUUUAUAAUGAUGAUUGCAUGCCUCCUACUUAUGAUGAUUAUUGUGAUGAUACUUAUGCUAUAAAAAGUAGUGAUUAUAUUUAUAAAACUUGUCAUGGUUAUGAUUACCCCUUCUCUGAACAUUACUCUUUUAAUGUGGAAACAAUUUAUAGUAUUCAAGUUUCCUAUGAUACUCCCACUAUUCUGAAUAAGAAGAAUUUUGCUUAUGUGGAGAGUAAUAAAUUUUCUAUGCUUGUAGAUCAUGAAAAUAAUGCUUUAGGUACUGGUUAUAUUGUUAAAUUCAUUCAUGAUGCUACUGAAAAUUAUUAUGAGGGAGGAAUAUAUGCUUGUAGGAAUUGCAAUAAUGUCAAGUUUCCUCUCUAUGUGCUUAAAGUUUUGAAGUUAUGGUUGUUUUGCCCUCAUAUGCUAGUUGAUUAUUGUUCCCAUAAGUUGUUUGCUCACAAAAUCCCUAUGCAUAGGAAGUGGGUUAGGCUUAAAUGUUCUAGUCAUAUUCUUCAUGAUGCUCUAUUUAUUUUACAAUUCUUAUCUUUUAUGUGA
rnacentral:rRNA from 1 species